AGCGAACGCUGGCGGCAGGCUUAACACAUGCAAGUCGAACGGGUGUAGCAAUACAUCAGUGGCAGACGGGUGAGUAACACGUGGGAACCUUCCUAGGGGUACGGAACAACUCAGGGAAACUUGAGCUAAUACCGUAUACGUCCGUGAGGAGAAAGAUUUAUCGCCCUUAGACGGGCCCGCGUCGGAUUAGCUAGUUGGUGGGGUAACGGCCUACCAAGGCGACGAUCCGUAGCUGAUCUUAGAGGAUGAUCAGCCACACUGGGACUGAGACACGGCCCAGACUCCUACGGGAGGCAGCAGUGGGGAAUCUUGGACAAUGGGCGCAAGCCUGAUCCAGCCAUGCCGCGAGAGUGAAGAAGGUCUUCGGAUUGUAAAGCUCUUUUGCCAGGGACGAUAAUGACGGUACCUGGAGAAUAAGCCCCGGCAAACUUCGUGCCAGCCGCCGCCGUAA
rnacentral:rRNA from 1 species